rnacentral:rRNA from 1 species
UGGGGAAUUUUGGACAAUGGGCGAAAGCCUGAUCCAGCAAUGCCGCGUGUGUGAAGAAGGCCUUCGGGUUGUAAAGCACUUUUGUCCGGAAAGAAAUCCUUGGCUCUAAUACAGUCGGGGGAUGACGGUACCGGAAAGAAUAAGCACCGGCUAACUACGUGCCAGCAGCCGCGGUAAUACGUAGGGUGCAAGCGUUAAUCGGAAUUACUGGGCGUAAAGCGUGCGCAGGCGGUUUGCUAAGACCGAUGUGAAAUCCCCGGGCUCAACCUGGGAACUGCAUUGGUGACUGGCAGGCUAGAGUAUGGCAGAGGGGGGUAGAAUUCCACGUGUAGCAGUGAAAUGCGUAGAGAUGUGGAGGAAUACCGAUGGCGAAGGCAGCCCCCUGGGCCAAUACUGACGCUCAUGCACGAAAGCGUGGGGAGCAAACAGGAUUAGAUACCCUGGUAGUCCACGCCCUAAACGAUGUCAACUAGUUGUUGGGGAUUCAUUUCCUUAGUAACGUAGCUAACGCGUGAAGUUGACCGCCUGGGGAGUACGGUCGCAAGAUUAAAACUCAAAUGAAUUGACGGGGUCAUAGCUGUUUCCU